CAAAACCCGCCGGGAGGGCGGUGGGAGGUGGUGCAGUGGCUGCUGUGCCCGAGCACACCAGGGCUCAGGGCUGGGGCUCCUCCCCAGAUUGUUCUGAGAACACGAGGAGCUCCUGGGCUGUGACAUGUGCCCCUGGGACAUGUGCCCCUGCAGGGACCGGCUGGCAGGGCACUGAUCUCUGUGUUGGAGCCAAAAGCACCAUCAACAUCAACACAGGAUCUUCAGAGGCCAAACCCUGCAGCUACUAAAAAUCAAUAUAUUUGUGCCCAUCCAAGCAACACAACUGCAAGAGCAGAGAAAAAUCAGCUUCAAGCAAUUAUCCCUGUUCAUAAAUCUUGGUUCAGGCACAGUAACCUUCCUCAGCUUCAUACAAAGAGGCAAAGUGUGUUGCAGGAGAGUUACAGAGAUCAGCAGCAAGGACUGUGACCAUCACUCACCAGCAGACAUCAGAGCUGCAACUACUCAGCUUCAUCUCUGGAUCCAGCAGGAUUUAAAGAAUCUGAUCUGUGAGUCAGCAUGUCCUCAGCAUCCACCUUCCCCAUAUUAACUAUCUAAAAAUACAACACUGAGCAGCUGGCACUGUUCAAAUGGAGAGGGAGUUCAGCCUAUUUUUUACAUGCUUAAAACCAAGUUCUACCAAAACCACUACCAUGGUCAGGCACUGAAGCUUUUAAGAACCCAACAGCAUCCAAGUAUCUUCUCCACACUGCACACAUCUACUGUCUGUGAACCAAAACUCCCUACAGAGUUAUGAGCUUUAUAAUUUCACAGUUGAAACCCUACAUCUUCCUGCACCAGGCCCAUCUGGGGUGAGUGGCAUCUGAGUGAUAGGAAGG